rnacentral:rRNA from 1 species
CAGUAGCCGCGGGGAAUACGAAGGGGGCUAGCGUUGUUCGGAAUUACUGGGCGUAAAGCGCACGUAGGCGGAUAUUUAAGUCAGGGGUGAGAUCCCAGAGCUCAACUCUGGAACUGCCUUUGAUACUGGGUAUCUUGAGUAUGGAAGAGGUGAGUGGAAUUCCGAGUGUAGAGGUGAAAUUCGUAGAUAUUCGGAGGAACACCAGUGGCGAAGGCGACUCUCUGGUCUGUAACUGACGCUGAGGGGCGAAAGCGUGGGGAGCAAACAGGAUUAGAUACCCCUGUAGUCCCUGUCUCUUAUU